rnacentral:rRNA from 1 species
AUUGAACGCUGGCGGCAUGCCUUACACAUGCAAGUCGAACGGCAGCACGGGAGCAAUCCUGGUGGCGAGUGGCGAACGGGUGAGUAAUAUAUCGGAACGUGCCCAGUCGUGGGGAUAACGUAGCGAAAGCUACGCUAAUACCGCAUACGAUCUAUGGAUGAAAGCGGGGGAUCGCAAGACCUCGCGCGAUUGGAGCGGCCGAUAUCAGAUUAGGUAGUUGGUGAGGUAAAGGCUCACCAAGCCGACGAUCUGUAGCUGGUCUGAGAGGACGACCAGCCACACUGGGACUGAGACACGGCCCAGACUCCUACGGAGGCAGCAGUGAGGAAUUUUUGGACAAAUGGGCGGCAAGCCUGAUCCAGCAAUGCCGCGUGCAGGAUG